rnacentral:rRNA from 1 species
UACGGGGGGGCAAGCGUUGUUCGGAAUUACUGGGCGUAAAGGGCUCGUAGGCGGCCUGCUAAGUCGAACGUGAAAUCCCUCGGCUUAACCGGGGAACUGCAUCUGAUACUGGAUGGCUUGAGUUCGGGAGAGGGAUGCGGAAUUCCAGGUGUAGCGGUGAAAUGCGUUGAGAUCGGAAGGAACGCCCGUGGCGAAAGCGCGGUCCUGGACGCCUGCUGACGCUGAGACGCGAAAGCCAGGGGAGCGAACGGG